GAUGAACGCUGGCGGCGUGCCUAAUACAUGCAAGUCGAGCGAAUGGAUUAAGAGCUUGCUCUUAUGAAGUUAGCGGCGGACGGGUGAGUAACACGUGGGUAACCUGCCCAUAAGACUGGGAUAACUCCGGGAAACCGGGGCUAAUACCGGAUAACAUUUUGAACCGCAUGGUUCGAAAUUGAAAGGCGGCUUCGGCUGUCACUUAUGGAUGGACCCGCGUCGCAUUAGCUAGUUGGUGAGGUAACGGCUCACCAAGGCAACGAUGCGUAGCCGACCGGGUAGGGUGAUCGGCCACCCUGGGACUGAGACACGGCCCAGACUCCUACGGGAGGCAGCAGUAGGGAAUCUUCCGCAAUGGACGAAAGUCUGACGGAGCAACGCCGCGUGAGUGAUGAAGGCUUUCGGGUCGUAAAACUCUGUUGUUAGGGAAGAACAAGUGCUAGUUGAAUAAGCUGGCACCUUGACGGUACCUAACCAGAAAGCCACGGCUAACUACGUGCCAGCCGCCGCAGUAA
rnacentral:rRNA from 1 species